GGGGAGGAAGGCGCACAUCGGGAUCCUGCAGCAUGAAACAAGAACCCCUUCGGAGCGCAGCAGACCACACUGAAAAGGGUGCAUACCCGGUGCGGUGCUCUGCAUCCCGGGUGGUGCCGAAGAUGUGGAGUGUCGGAGGUGGCAGAAGCGCCGCAGCUUGGGGAAGCGGCGCCGGCAGCAUGAAACUUCCCCCUACCUCCCCUGACAGUGUCAUCUUCAGUCCAGCGCCUGUGUCCAGCCCCAAAAAAGGGGUGGGGCUUACCGGUGCGGAGGGGCGGAGCUACAUGGGACCAUGGCCAUGUUGCAGAGGAAGACAGAAGGCAGAAUACAGAGCCGGCCAGCCAGAUGUGUGCUUUUUAAUUACAAUAUUGAGAGGACUCACCUUGAAAGAUAGACCUUUAUUGGACUGGUAUCUAUUGCUUCAUACCAUAUCUCAGUUUGGAUUUUGUAGUACUCUCUAAUGUAACUAUUAGUCUGUUAUAUCCAUCGAUUACAUCUGAUUGACUCUUUAUAUUUUCAGGGGAAACUCUAAUAAUAUAUCACUGUUACUUCUCAACGUACUUUUGCUAAACGUAUGCAGAUGUUUAUUGCUGUUAUUGCUGU